GUGUCGAACAAAGAAAAGCAGUGCAUAGGCCAAAGGGUAGCAAGAGAGCACCAAAGUCCCCUGAACAAAGAAGAAAAAUUGCUGAAUCCAUUGCUGCCAAAUGGGCUGAUCCUGCAUACCGAGAACGAGUUUGCUNNNNNUUGCUAAAUAUCAUGGCAUACCAGCUGGAGCUGAAAGGAAGCCAAGGCGAAGGCCAAGUACACAAUCCAAGAAACAGGACCCAACAAAGAAAAAAACUAGGGAUACCAACAACUUGUCUGGAAGUGACACUACAAGCCCAAUUCAGCAACUAAGGUCGCAGAGAAGUAAGACACCAUUGUACAACGAUCCUUUGGCAGGUUCAAAGUUGGAGAUGAUAAAGAACAUCAGAGCACAAAGAGCUGCCACAGAAACCAAGAAAACUGAAGCCAUUGAACGAGCAAGGUUGUUAAUAGCUGAAGCUGAGAAGGCUGCUAAGGCCCUUGAGGUUGCUGCAACAAAGAGCCCUGUUGCUCAAGCCUCCCUCCUGGAAUCUAGAAAGCUUAUAACUGAAGCAAUUCAGUCACUUGAAUCCAUAGAAACUGUGCAUAUCACAUCUAGUAAGAAUGACUUGGACCCUUCUCUUGGCCCAACUGAACGGGUUAGCCAGGUUGAGAUGGGAACGGACAUGGGAAAUGGAAGCUCUAAUCAAGCAGAGUCAAAAGAAGUAAAUGGGACCAAAAUCCUUGCAUCAAGUAAAUAUGAGGACC
rnacentral:misc_RNA from 1 species